rnacentral:rRNA from 1 species
UACGUAGGGUGCAAGCGUUAAUCGGAAUUACUGGGCGUAAAGCGUGCGCAGGCGGUGAUGUAAGACAGUUGUGAAAUCCCCGGGCUUAACCUGGGAACUGCAUUUGUGACUGCAAGGCUGGAGUGCGGCAGAGGGGGAUGGAAUUCCGCGUGUAGCAGUGAAAUGCGUAGAUAUGCGGAGGAACACCGAUGGCGAAGGCAAUCCCCUGGGCCUGCACUGACGCUCAUGCACGAAAGCGUGGGGAGCAAACAGG